rnacentral:lncRNA from 1 species
AUUUUAGUCAUUUUUGUCUUCAAAAGAUCCUACAAAUGAUUUCCUUGAUAAAGCAAAAAUUCAUCUACAUGUUCCUGAGGGUGCUACCCCAAAGGACGGUCCCUCAGCAGGUGUCACUAUAGUCUCUGCCCUCCUCUCACUGGCUAUGGAUCGUCCAAUACGUCAGAAUGUUCCCAUGACUGGGGAACUGUCUCUCACUGGAAAAAGAGUCAUUGGCUCAGAUCAUUGAGGCUGGUAAAAGAGUUAUAGAUGAUCCUACACAUCUUGCUGAUUUUGGAGCUGCACUGACCAGUGGAGAAUCACAUCAAAUUCAAGCAGUUCUUGAAUGUCCAGACGUAA